rnacentral:rRNA from 1 species
CAUGGCUCAGGACGACCGCUGGCGGCGUGCCUAAUACAUGCAAGUAGAACGCUGAAGGAGGAGCUUGCUUCUCCGGAUGAGUUGCGAACGGGUGAGUAACGCGUAGGUAACCUGCCUGGUAGCGGGGGAUAACUAUUGGAAACGAUAGCUAAUACCGCAUAAGAGUAGAUGUUGCAUGACAUUUGCUUAAAAGGUGCAAUUGCAUCACUACCAGAUGGACCUGCGUUGUAUUAGCUAGUUGGUGGGGUAACGGCUCACCAAGGCGACGAUACAUAGCCGACCUGAGAGGGUGAUCGUCCAGACUGGGACUUCAACACGGCACAGACUCCUGCAG